rnacentral:rRNA from 1 species
UACGGGGGGGGCAAGCGUUGUUCGGAAUUACUGGGCGUAAAGGGCUCGUAGGCGGCCAACUAAGUCAGACGUGAAAUCCCCCGGCUUAACCAGGGAACUGCGUCUGAUACUGGAUGGCUUGAGAUUGGGAGAGGGAUGCGGAAUUCCAGGUGUAGCGGUGAAAUGCGUAGAUAUCUGGAGGAACACCGGUGGCGAAGGCGGCAUCCUGGACCAACACUGACGCUGAGGAGCGAAAGCCAGGGGAGCAAACGGG